UGCCGCGAGAGCCUGUGGUCGCGGUGGUUGUGGUUAUCUGUCGUGCACCGCAUACGAGGAAGCCACGUUACGCACAAGUCAGGCACGCCCGUCCUACAUCCUGUCUGGUGCAGAACGUCAGCGAGGGCAAUCCAGGCAAGAAAGAGCACUCACCGGGUGCAUCCGAGCGUACAGUUUUUACAAAUGAACCAAGCUGACAGUGAAAUUAAGUUUAAUAGCAAUAUGCAAUCCGUGCACAUCUUCCGAAUAUUACUGGGGAAAAAGAUUCCUUGAAAAGUGUACAAGAAAAGAGCUAACGUAUGCUUAACUCCUCUAAGAUGAAAAAAAUAACUAACAUUAUAAAUAUACUACUUUAUUUCUAAAACUAAGCACAAAAAAUACAGAAAGAUACAGAAUGUACAAUCAUGUACAAUCAUGUACAGUUCAAUACCAGUGUACCAAUAACAAUGCUUGCUGGUAAAUUGUUUUGGUAAUAUAUAAAUCAGAAUCAACAUUGUAUCGAUAGCAUUUGUGAAAAUUAAUAAACAUACUGCACAAUAAAUUCAAACAAAUUACUUUUCAUAACUUUAUAUAUACAAAGAUGAUUUACAGAAAAUUACUAAAGAACUGACAAAAAAAUGCAGAAAUAUAUUUUGUAUUAACAUAACCGAUUUUUUAAUGAAAGCUUGCCAUAAUUAAGUGAAUACUAGUGGAAACAGGUACAAAUAAUUUUUACACGUACAUUUAUAAACCAAAAUUACUGAAAAAUUUAAUACUUAAUAUAGUUUUAAGUUUUCACUUUUCACAUAUAGUGGAUCAGUACUGCUGUGUAAUUAAUCUUGUGACAGAAUCUUUCAUCAAUACAUAUUUAUUACUGUAAAGAAUUAAAUUCUGUAAUUUCUUUGCUUAAAUGUGCUUCUUUGGCACAAGUUAUUUAGAGUAUUUUUGCAGAUGAAACUGCAUACCUAAAUUUAAUACAAAAGAAAUCCUCUCACAACCAUACUUGAAAAUAAAAAAAAUAAAAGACUGUUCAAGUGAUUCGGACUAGUUUAUCACUUUUUACAGUCCAAUCCUUUAUUUCAAAUAAUUUCAAUGUUCAAGUCAUUACAAAUUCAGUACAAUAAUCAAUAAAUACUGUUAUAAUGCAGACAGAGUACAUUCAUCAUGGAAGAUACUGCACCUCAAUAAUUCAUUCACAUCCUUACAGACUCAAAAACAUGAGACUUGCUAUCUCUGUGAUUGUAGUAGCAAAACCAACCAUAAAUGUUAAAGCACAAGAUAUUUGUAUGUACAUAAUAACUAUUCCAGUUGAUAUCUACAAAACAUUGGCAAAUGUUAAUGUCACAUUUAAAAUUGUCAUUUACCUCCAACUCUGAGGCAAAUGGUACACACAAUGCCCAUUACCGGUUGCUUACCAAAAUCGUAGCUAUAAAAUACAAAAAAUAUUUAUUCUAGAAUUUAUAGAUCCAAAAGUUAUUUUACAAUUUUUUCUACAAAUUGCACAGUAAAGAAAACUUGUUCUGCCCAGGUUUUCUUUAAUUUUUUUUCUAACAAUAUUCUGAAAACUAUUAAAUCAUAUCUAUAGGUAACUGAAAAUCUAUAAUAUGAACGACUACAAACAAGUAUUCACAUUUCAAAUUAAUAGUGUGCCAGAAUUGCCCAUUUAACAAUAUUAAAUGUUAUAAAUUCAAUUACAAUGAAAUUGAUACAGAACUUAUUGUGCACUGCAUUCAAAAAUUAAUGUAAUACAGAAUUGAUUAUAAUCUAAGAAUAAGUUAAUACCUUUCUGUAAAUCAGUAAAAUUUAUAGCUAUGCUAUGUGUAUUAAUGACCCAUGAGCACGAAUGCACAAAAAUGGCUGCCAAUACAUGGAAAUUUCUACAAAAGUUGAGGGUAAUAAUAGUUAAUUUAUGGAGAACUGCUUUUAGAUCUAAUGCUAUGUAUCUACUAAAUAAUUCACGAGUUAUUGAACUAAGAGUAUAUUCCAAACAUUUUGAGUGAGGAACUUAAAUUCAAUUGGAAGUAGUAGCACAAAGAAGAGGAGAAGGAAGAAAAAGCAAGAAAGUUGAUUGAAGAAUGAGGCAUGAAACCAAAAGCAGUUACACACCAAAAUCAAAAAUAAAGGAUGAAGGAAAAUAAACAGAAUGAGCAAGAAAAAACCAUGCACACCAUCAACUAUGAGAAAAAGCCAUGUGCAAAAACUUUGCUGCAAUCAAAGUUAAGCUAAGUGUAGGUAUAUGAUUUUACGCUGAAUUGUGAUAAAACUGACAUGUAUGAAAAUAAACAAAAAAUUUUUAGCUGAUCCAGUAUGUCCAUGCCAUACAUCGUUGGCAGGGGAAAAUUCACCAUAUCCAUUUUCCAUACAGAAAAAUCUUCAGACAACCUCAAGUCCAAACUUUUAAAACAGCUUGUAUACACAACAACAACCAAAAAAAAAACUAUUUUCAUUAGCAAAUAUAAGGCUUCCAAUGUUUUAAAGCUUUGCAGCAAACACAAAACUUCACAUCAGAUGCGAAGCUCUGUGCAUCACAACAGAAGCUUCAGAUAAAACGAAUAGCAAAUUCCCUGGAAAAAUCAAAUCCAAUGUUAGAAAUAGCUUUGAUUGAUUCGCUUAGACUAAGCUUUGCAUAGGCCUAAUGGUAACCCAGUUAUAAUAAUUAAUACAGCAGAGUCGUGAUCAACCAAGCUUUUGACUAACCAAGAUUCUGUUUAUAUGAGUAGACCUAAAUUGCCAUUCCCAGCACAGACAAUACCAAAAUAUUUGCUUGAGGACCUAGAAAAAGAUCUAACAGUUCACAAAAGCCUUAACAAAACUAACCUCAAUGAUGUAAUUUACUGGUUAAGCGAAUCAUGAAGUGACGUGAAAGAAUUUACACUGAAGAAAUUCUGGAAAAAUGUUACCCCAAAAAAUGAUAUCACUGGACCAACCAAGAAACCAUGACAAUUUUUGGAAUUACAGCCAUGUUAUUUGAAAUUUUGUUGCUCCGAGUAACUGCGGUCCACAUUAACUCAUUCAAUCGAGACAUUACUAGAAUCUCACAAGGAGAAAUCCUUACAAGAAAACUUGCUCUGCAAUCAUAAGCAUCGGCCUCACUGACUAAACUUCUGGGAGCCUUCAACCUUACAAACUGUACAGUGAAACACCGAAGUACCAUUUCAUACACCAUUUAGCACCGAAAUGUAACUAAAAAUGUGAAAACUAUCAGCAAUUUGACAAAACUCAACUCGAACUGCAAAAUUUAAUAUUUUACUAUAGUAAAUUCAUUGGAUGUAUUUUAUUUAGCUAUAAUUUUGUACCAAAAUAUAUGUACUAGUAAACAGUUAGAAAAAAUUAA